CUGGAGUUAACUAAAUGAAGUGUUACUACUCAGAUUCUACUCUAAUAUCAUUUUAGAACCUGUUGUCGCACUGGGGGCUGGCAGCACAUUAGCUGCUAUAAAAGAAGCUGAGCAGGAAGAGCAUGACAAGGAAAAGAAAGAGCAGAAGGAAACGCUUAGUGACCCAUCAAUUCUGUCAGAGCUAAAUAAAACCUCAGAUGAAACAGUACCUCCCAGUUUGGAACAACUGUGGUCCUAUAGAUGUGAUUUAACUCACCCGCACAAUGUGAGCAGCAUGGCUUGGAGCAAAGUAAACCUGGAUCUUCUAGCUGUUGGUUAUGGAGCGUUUGAUUUUAAAGAACAGAAGGAAGGCUUGGCAUGCUGCUGGUCGCUGAAGAACCCAAUGGUAACAGAAGCACUGGUUUUGUCUUCUUUCUUCUUCUGUGUGUUUUUCUGCUGUACCGUUUCUCCUUCAUUAAUUUUCCCCUUA